rnacentral:rRNA from 1 species
GACGAACGCUGGCGGCGUGCUUAACACAUGCAAGUCGAACGGAAAGGCCUUUUCGGAGGUACUCGAGUGGCGAACGGGUGAGUAACACGUGGGUGAUCUGCCCUGCACUCUGGGAUAAGCCUGGGAAACUGGGUCUAAUACCGGAUAGGACCGCACUUUAGUGUGUGUGGUGGAAAGUUUUUUCGGUGUAGGAUGAGCCCGCGGCCUAUCAGCUUGUUGGUGGGGUAAUGGCCUACCAAGGCGGCGACGGGUAGCCGGACUGGGAGGUUGGUCGGCCACAUUGGGACUGAGAUACGGCCCAGACUCCCACGGGAGGCAGCAGUGGGGAAUAUUGUACAAUGGGCGCAAGCCUGAUGCAGCGACGCCGCGUGGGGGAUGACGGCCUUCGGGUUGUAAACUCCUUUCGCCAGGGACGAAGCGUUUUGUGACGGUACCUGGAGAAGAAGCACCGGCUAACUACGUG